AGAGUUUGAUCCUGGCUCAGGAUGAAUGCUGGCGGCGUGCCUAACACAUGCAAGUCGAGCGGCAGCGGGUUCUGCACUAUCAACUUGAAGCCUGGACGCGGGGAUUUCCGAAGGAAAUCAGUCGCAUCAUUUCGAAAGAGAUGAGUGUCUGGGGUGACUUCAAACUGAUAGUGCAGAGUGCCGGCGAGCGGCGAACGGCUGAGUAACGCGUAGGAAUUUGCCCCAAAGUGAGGGAUAACUGCCCGAAAGGGUAGCUAAUACCGCAUAUGGUCUUCGGAUUAAAGGAUUUAUCCGCUUUGGGAGAAGCCUGCGUUGGAUUAGGUUGUUGGUAGGGUAAUGGCCUACCAAGCCGACGAUCCAUAGCUGGUCUGAGAGGAUGAUCAGCCAGACUGGAACUGAGACACGGUCCAGACUCCUACGGGAGGCAGCAGUGAGGAAUCUUCCACAAUGGGCGAAAGCCUGAUGGAGCAACGCCGCGUGAAGGAUGAAGGCCUUCGGGUUGUAAACUUCUUUUAUGAGUGAAGAAUAUGACGGUAACUCAUGAAUAAGCACCGGCUAACUACGUGCCAGCAGCCGCGGUCAUACGUAGGGUGCAAGCAUUAUCCGGAGUGACUGGGCGUAAAGAGUUGCGUAGGCGGUUUAAUAAGUGAAUAGUGAAACCUGGUGGCUCAACCAUACAGACUAUUAUUCAAACUGUUAAACUCGAGAAUGGUAGAGGUAACUGGAAUUUCUUGUGUAGGAGUGAAAUCCGUAGAUAUAAGAAGGAACACCGAUGGCGUAGGCAGGUGACUGGACCAUUUCUGACGCUAAGGCACGAAAGCGUGGGGAGCGAACCGGAUUAGAUACCCGGGUAGUCCACGCCGUAAACGAUGGAUACUGGCUGUUGGAGGUAUCGACCCCUUCAGUAGCGAAGCUAACGCGUUAAGUAUCCCGCCUGUGGAGUACGGCCGCAAGGCUAAAACAUAAAGGAAUUGACGGGGAC
rnacentral:rRNA from 1 species